UGGACUCUUGUAACCAGCUCACUGGAUCAGUUGCUGGAAGACUGUUAUACUGCGUAUGCUGAAGGAGAACUGACGUUCAUGACCAAGUUGCUUUCAAGGGCAGUUCAAAGUGUUGGCUGACAAGGCUGUGCUUGGCUGAUACUUUCCUUUUGGAGUACAUUCUGUCAUUGCUGGCAUGGUGCAUUCACCAUAUGACCUGUCAUUCUCCAGACAACCUCCAAGGGAGGUAUUACCAUCACCAUGCUACAGAUGAAGAAACUGAAGCUAACAAAGGGGAGAUGCCUACAUUCUUUCUCACAACCUUCAACUUUGCAGCUGACCAUGAAUGAACGGGUGAACGAAUACACGCUAAACUAUCGAAGUUUAUAG